rnacentral:lncRNA from 1 species
CUGUGCAGUCCGACGGUGCUUGCAUGCUUGUAUCCGGUAGCAUACAUUGCGGAUGUAUCAAAAGGCAAGCACCGAUCUCUUUCGUUACUAAACAAUAGUGUGUGCUAUUUGAUGAAAUGGAUUCACAAUGAAGUGGGCAAAAUUUCUCGUGUUUAAGUUGAGUCAUUGUGGCCUUAAUCAUCUUGUGCGAGUAGAAAAAAUUUGGUUGCUUCACAUGUGCCUGUGCGGCUCUGUUGGUGGUUUUCUGCCUGAGGUUGAAGAUGACAGCCAACCUGGACUGCCAGCCCACGCGCGGAUUAGGCGCUGCCUGCAGCUGCAGGAGAGGUUGGCCUACAGUUGGAGGAGGCCCUGGCCUUCAGCUGGCAAUUUAGAGGAACUUGCCACUAUGAAAAUCUGAAAAUCUAACUUGACACCAUACUUGUUUUUGUUCUUCAGAAGUUCAGGUAGCUAGCUUGCUCACUAUGAAAACCUUCUCUGUAUGUGCUAAUUAGUACGUACUACUAAGCAAAAAUAAUCUUGUGAAGUGGAUGACGCUGGCCAUGGGAGAUUUUGAUGGCACUAUAGUGAUGACAACCUCCAGCAGUUCGCAUAUACCCCAGGCCGCAGCCCAGCUUCUCCGUCAUUAGCGUGACAUGCAACACCACACCACUACAGACACUUCCCUGAAUUUACCAAUGAUUGCUUUAUUGCUCAUGCGAGACACCGCCGGGGGAGUUUAUGGGUGUUGUCACUGGGACGAUAUGGAGAAUGGAGGCAUCCAGAACAUGACCUAGUGGAUAGACUGGAGGAGCAAUCAGACACGCCCAUGGCAUUUGGACGUAGACGAUGGUAGCUCGGCAGCGCUGUGGCCUGCUGCUGCUGGGUGAGUUCGUGUCCUAGCGAUGUGUGUAUGUGCUAAUGGUGUGAGUUCGUGUUGUAUAUCUGUGCACACGAACAGGAAAUGUUUCAGAUCUUGUAGCCUGCUCAUGUGCACUACAAGUGUUUGUGUUUAUGCCCCAAGGAAGAAAACAUGUUAUUUUUAACCGAGAACAUAAUUUAAAAUACAAACUUGGGCAACCAAGCUAUCUAUGUUUUUCUAUCACAAAAUAAAUCACGCCAAAGCAGAUUCAAAACUUCAUAUAUGGAUUACAAAAUAUUUUGCAUGGGGUUCCAGUUUGCUUGUUUGUUGAUUCAAAACUUCAUGAAGUUCGAUGUCUAUAAAAAAGGAUUUUGAGCAAAGAAUGAUUUCCCCUAUUCAAAAAAAUAUAGAAGUUCAGAUUAAAAUAACAGUGUAGUUUAACAUUAAAAAAACUAGAAUUUCGCUUUCAAAAAAAUCAAAUCCUAGAAGUUCAAUUUAGAAAAAAUGAUCAUUUGAUUUUCAUCGUUUCAAAAAAACCCCAAGAGGUUUAGUUUAAGGAACCUAAGAAGUGCGAACUUAAAAACUCAAAAUUUCCUUGGAGCUAAACAAAUAAAAAAUGAGAACUUCAAAAUAAAAAAACAGAGUAGUUCGAUGUAUACGGAAAAAUCAAAUUAUUUUUGUUUCGAGGAAAAAUAGAAGUAUGAAAGUUCAAUUUUAAAAAAAUUGUUUAAUGCUUAUUUGAAAACAUAUUUUUUCUAAGAAUAAGACUAAGAAGUUCAAAUUAAAAAAACAGAGAAGUUCGACAUAUAUAAAAAGCUCAGAUUUUUUCUUGUUACUAAAGAAAUAAAAUGAAGAACAUCAAAUUAAAAUAAAUGGAACAACUAAAAAAAGUUUACAAAGUGUUGAUGUUUAUUAAAAAAUCUAGGAUUUUCACAAAUAUCCGUUUUUGUUAAAUUAUCAACGAUGAAGUUCAAAUUGAGAAGUUAGUCAAAUUUGAUGUUUAUUUAAAAACCAAAAACAAUUCUUUAGUCAAAAUAUAGAAAGGUGAAAUUCAAAUUGAAAUAACAGGGAAGUUCGGAGUUUAUUAAAACCUAGGAUUUACCUGUUCCGAAAAUAAAAAACACAACGCCAUUUUUUGCACUUUUAGAAACAACUCAUAAACGGAAAAAAUGGUUGCUAAAAGUUCAAGUGCUCGGCGAGCAAAAGUUCAAAAAAUUCUUGUGAGAGAGGUUCCCCGUGUAUUUAGAUGUCCGAAAUACAUCAAAAAAUAUGUUGUCUUUUGUGUUUUAAAAUAAUUCUCUCAAACUAGAGAAAAUUUCAAAGUGAUAACAACUGGAAGUUCACGUACUACAUGGUGUGUGUUUCAUAUAAGAAAAAUACAAUAAAGUGGAACAGAGUGAAGUUCAAACAGACAUGCUCUAGAAGUUCAACUCCUUCACGCAGUGCAAAAAACAGCACGUCAAAAACAGAGUGAAGCUCAAACAGACAUGCCCGAGAAGUUCAACUACUUCACGCAGUGCAUUUCCAUUCGCGAUGAAGGCAGAAAUCAUGAUUUCCUCAUUUUCUAAUUUAUUUCAAAAUGGCAGGAAGUGAAAGUUCAAGUCCUCGGUCAAAUAAAGUUAAAAAAAUAUUGUGAGAUAGGUUUGUACAAAAAGAAUAUCAUUUGUGUAACACUAACGAAUGGAUGAGAAAAUUACAAACGAAAAUACGUCACAGAAGAUCAACAUGAAAACAGCAGGAAGUUCAACUACUAUGCUGAAUGAAUUUCAGACGAAAAACUUUUAAAAUCAUCGCGAGUAUGAAAAAAUGAUCAACACGGGAAAAUUGCGUGUUUACAGUAGCUUUCCAUCGGUAUAUCAGUUGCUCAAUUAUGGUGAGUGGAUGGAGAGCUACCAGCAGUGGAUGGAGAGCUACGAGCAAAAAAAGCACGUGAAAAACAGAGUGAAGUUCAGGUAGACAUGCCGAGAAGUUCAAGUUCUUCACGCGGUGCAUUUUCAGAGAAUCUGUUUCAUGACAAAGGCAGAACGAAUGAUCUCACUUGUUUUCGAAAUUACUUGAAAACGACUAGGAUUCAGAGAAAACCAUCAACAUGAAAAAGUUUUGCAUUUUCCGUACCUUUUUAGCGGUAUAUUAUUUGCCCCUUUCCGAUAAAUGUUGUAAAAAUUACAACAAAAACACGUUUUUAGCCAUUUUCAAAACUGACAUAAAAUUGUAGAUAAUUGGGAGAAAAAAUAUAUACACGAAAGUUUCGCAUUUGUUCAGGCUUUCCAACGGCGUAUCAUUUGCUGCAUUCGGACUUACGGUUAAAAAAUUAGCUCGAAAAUACGAACUCGGUGAAAUUUGUACUAUUUUCUAAAUUACUUUUAAACCGUUCGAAAUUACAAAAAACUUUCAACAUGGAAAAGUAGCGCAUUUUCAUAAUCUUUCUAACGCCAUAUCAUUUGCCUCAAUUGGAUUAGCCGUUUCGAAAUGACAUCGAAAAUACAAACUCGGCUGUUCGGUUUAUGAAAUUUUAUGUUUUCCCAAAUUACUUUUUAACCAUAUGGAAUUAGAGAAAAUUUUCAACAUGUGGAAUGAGCGGUUUUACAGCAGCUUUCCAACGCCAUAUUAUUUGCCUGAUUCCGAUGAAUGGUUUUGAAAUGCGAUCAAAAAUACGAUUCACAUUUUUUGUAUGAAGAACAAACGGUUUUCAAAACUGCUCUUAACCCGCUUACAUUUUGCCAAAAAUUUAACUUGGGUCAUGAUACUGGUGUCCAUAGCUUUCCAAUGGUAUAUCGCAAGCCCCAUUUGGGCAAUGUUGGCGGAAGUUCAACCUAGUACUAGGAGAAGUUCAGGUCGAACAACUCAGUCAGUAAAAUUGCAAAAAACACAAUUUCAUCACAACCCGAGAGCAAAAUCCGCCAACGAGCGAUAUUCCUAUUUAAAACCGGUAUUUAGUUGCUAAAAAACGUUUCUAGAUUACACUAACAUCAUAUAGAACACGUCUAACAAGAAUAAUUCGCGGGGGAAGCCACGGUUGCGAAGAUAGCCCGAAGGUCGGGUUCGUACAGAGGGAAGUUCAGGCGCGUUACUCAGGUGUUGGAAAUAUGCCCCAGAGGCAAUAAUAAAAGAAUUAUUAUUAUAUUUCCUUGUUCAUGAUAAUUGUCUUUAUUCAUGCUAUAAUUGUGUUAUUCGAAAAUCCUAAUACAUGUGUGAAUAACAGACACCAACAUGUCCCUAGUAAGCCUCUAGUUGACUAGCUCGUUGAUCAACAGAUAGUCAUGGUUUCCUGACUAUGGACAUUGGAUGUCAUUGAUAACGAGAUCACAUCAUUAGGAGAAUGAUGUGAUGGACAAGACCCAAUCCUAAACAUAGCACAAGAUCGUAUAGUUCGUUUGCAAAACUGUAAUGCUCGACAAGCAGAAAAAAUUACUUUUCCGGAAUCAUCCCUCAAGACCAUCCCUCAAGAUUAUUUUUCCGGACUCUAACCAUAUAUUUUUCGGCAUAUUAUACAUAUUUUGUUAGUCCAAUCAAAGAUCUGAACCCCCAAUAUCAUAAACCCAGCCGGAAGUAUAUACUUAUUAGCGUCCCUCUUUGGAACCGGUAAUAAUUGAGUUCCUCCAACCAGUUUGAGAUUCGGGCGCGUUUCUUUGGGUCUCGGGUGCCGAUACAUCCGAACUGAGAAAAAUAAUUUAGAAAUUGCAAAAAAAGUGAAAAAAAAUCAUGAUUUCCUUAGAACAGACAUGAUAUUGUGUUACACUCAUGUGAAAAGAUACACGAAUGAAUGACUUUCGUGUACUCUGGGCGACAGAAACCAAAAUCGACACUAUAUAAAAGUUACUAUUUACGCUUUUAUACUCACAAAUUUCUCUUUUGCCCUAAAGUCAUUCUUUCGCGAAACUUUCUAUACGAAUAUAACAAUAUAUCAAGUAUGUUUUCAAAAUGUUCUACAAUUUUGUGACCUUUUUUUGCAAUUUCUAAAUUAUUUUUUCAGUAAUGUGUUUGCCAGUUCUUAGAAUAUCGCUCAUAACAUAAAUUUUUGUGACCCGAUCAUCCUUCGUUCACCCCGUUUUAUGUAUGUUUCCCCUACGUCUACUAGUUUAUAAUUUUUUCCUCCCACAUCUGGUGUUUUUCCACCCGUUUUGAUAACCGGCUCAACAGCCCCAUAAAAUCUUGUUUUUUUGCAAGCAAUCACAUUAAUAAUAACAUGCCAGGUAAAUAACUGACUAACCUAUUAGAAUAUUUAUGCCCUCAUUGCAACGCAUGGGCAAUUAUCUAGUGUGACAAUAAAAAAAGGAGAGAAUAUAAUGUCACGAAAACGUAGUAAGAAGUACCACAAACAAGGGAGAGGAGAAGAUAAUUGAAGGACAAACUACUAGUUGGCACUUUGUACACUAUAAAAUUAUCCAUUUAGUUGCACCUAAAGUAGAUAGUCUUGUACAAUCUAGAAAAUUUGUCAAGGUAUAUCCUAGAUUCAUACACUAUUUUUUUAUCAGUUUCCAGAUAUUUAUAAUGGUAAUAUAUUAAUAUCGAAAUGAUACUCGGUACAUUCAUCAUCCAAACGACACAUAUAGAGAGUUAGUCAAGACAUCAAGGAUGCAUAUGCUAUAGAAACGCAAAAAAAUCUGACAUGAGUAAAAGGGCUUUGUAACGAUAAUAUUGGAUAGUAAAAAAAUAUGUAUCUAAAUAAACAUUGGCAUGUUCUAUCUUUUAUAUCAAAAUAAUUUAUCAAUAUUUUUUUAAUUUAACCACAAGAUGAUUUACGACUAAAUAAAGAAGUUCAAUAUAAAAUAGGUGAUAAUUCUAUGCACCAAACAUAUUGACCAUAUUUGAGCAUAAUAUUUCAAAAGGAUGUUUUAUGCGCUUUUUAGGUUGCUCUUCCUUAUGAGUUUAAUUAUGAUUUUUAUUUGACAAUAGACCCACAAAAUUUAGUAAAGUAUCAAAGGGGAGCAAUUAAGUAAGGGCAAGGGGCAGUGCUGGGUUUAAUAUCAAAACUGGUAAAAUAUUAACAUGUUUAGGAAUUAGGAAUAAUUACAUUAUGUCUUCGUUGGGUCCAAUAAAUAAGGUCAAAAAAAUAAAAAAACAGAGAUAAAUAAUCUUGAGCAGACAUUAGUGGUACGGAAAAUAACAUAUCAUGGUAUACCUUCAGGGUCAACUUCUUCUCAUAUAUUAGAUUGCAACAGAAGUUGCAAAAUCCUCAUUUCCUUUAAAAACAGCAAGAAGUAUACUGUCUAGCUGCAAAAACAACACAACAGAUGAUUUUUUUAUCAAAUAGCAAUAGUCACAUUGUGUUUCUGUUGGGUCCAGUGAAUUAUAAAACACAAACAUCAAUCAUUGCUAUUCAAGACAAGUGAUACAAUAAGGCCAAACUCGUUGGAAACAGUCAAGUAACAAAGAUGGAGGUGGACAGAUAAACACCCUAUCUAGUAGACCGGCACUAGAAAAUCAAUAGCAGUUUUAAUAAUGUUCAUUUACAUUUUCAAUGAAUACUUGAACCAUGCUUUCAAUCUCUUGAGCAGUACUGUCCAACUGACCAUCUAAGAAGCACAAACUGACUACCAACUUAAUAAAUAGACAUAUAAAAUGAACGGUAGCUCAUAAUGUAUAGUCACUUACCAACAGCAAGUUUACUAAGCCCAGGAAGAUCAAUAAGAGUCAGGUUCACAACUGCAAUGAUUAAAAGCGUUACGAUGCGACAAAAAUGAAAAGAACAAACAAUAUAGGAAAAUACAUAACAAGGGACAGAUACAGUAUGGCUAUCCUACCAAUGACAGAAAUAGUCCGUAAUAAACUUAUAAGCUUCUAAGGUAAAUCAGAACACCCUUUGCAAGCAACAUUUUUUGAUAUCUAAUAAUGGAGGUACAUAAGACAGUUUGGUAUUGAGAGAGCAUUAAAGUAACACCAUUAAAAUAGUUGGCAACAUUGCUGUCUGCAUAUCUUACCAUCUGAAGAAAAUAUGCUUAAAUGUAUGGGGACAGCUGAUAUUUGCUUUGAACAACCGGCUAUCUCCGUCUUCACUUCAGCUGCAACGAUAGAGAUGUCACCAUGAGCCGAGUAUCAUCACGAUAAACUAGAAUAAAUGAAUAAAAAAUAGUGCUUGACAGAAUUUCAGGGAAAUAGAUUUGUGGAAUUACCAAAACACGUGUAUUUUUUACUUUGCUCAUCAUGUAAAAACCCAGCAUACUCUCUAAUUCCAUCAAUUUUACGAAGCUGCACUAUCAGGGGAGGCGCGUGACAAUGCCCUUGGGUAGGAAAUCUUUUCCAACAAGGCACUCCAGCACUAAAGAUUUGUCGGCACCCUUCCAUAUAAUCAGAAGUUUCAAAUGUUAGGACAAAUACUAGGUACUCAAAAAACAGACAAAAUUGUGUGGUUCUUUUAGGCAAUCACACCCUCACACUAACCCAAUAUCUCUACGGGGAACUAAACUGAACUAACAGAUUCAAACAAACAAUUAACAACCAGCAUAGCAUUUCAUGCCUCUAGUUGAUCCUAAAUACCAGAUCCAGAUGCAACAAUAGAUCUCUAGGAUCUCUAGGCGCGAGAUUUAGAUGCAACGACAAUUCCCCUAGGCGAGAUCCAAGCAUAUAACCGCGCGUCUCCGGAACUAAACUGUAUUGGUUCUCAGUCAGGAUCACACGAUGACAACGAUGAACGCACACACGCGAGAGAGUCACACGUGAAUACAUAGGAACGGGAGUGUUUUUGCGACGCUCUGAUUCAGUGUCUUUUCUGUUUCUUUCCUUUAUUCGUUUGGAAACAGACUAAGAGCAUCUCUAGCAGACCUGUAUAAUGCCUCGACCCAUAAAAUAACCACCAAAAUACGGGUCCGUGCAGAAAAUGUUGCCCGAUCAGACCCCGCAAACGCGUCGGACCCGUAAAAAGUUUUGAAGGGUGCGGCAUAAUUGUUGGGGAACGUAGUAAUUUCAAAAAAAAUCCUACACACACGCAAGAUCAUGGUGAUGCAUAGCAACGAGAUGGGAGAGUGUUGUCCACAUACCCUCAUAGAUCGAAAGCGGAAGCGUUAGAACAACACGGUUGAUGUAGUCGUACGUCUUCACGAUCAGACCGAUCCAAGUACCAAACGUACAGCACCCCCGAGUUCAGCACACGUUCAGCUCGAUGACGUCCCACGAACUCCGAUCCAGCAGAGCUUCGAGGGAGAGUUCCGUUAGCACGACGGUGUGAUGACGAUGAUGAUGAUGAUGUUACCGACGCAGGGCUUCGCCUAAGCACCACUAUGAUAUGACCGACGUGGAUUAUGGUGGAGGGGGCCACCGCACACGGCUAAAAGAUCAAUGAUCAAUUGUUGUGUCUAUGGGGUGCCCCCCUGCCCCCGUAUAUAAAGGAGCUAGGGGGGAGGCGGCCGACCAGGAGGAGGGCGCGCCAAGGGGGAAGUCCUACUCCCAUCGAGAGUAGGACUCCUCUUUUCCUAGUAGGAGUAGGAGAAGGGAAGGAAGGAAGGGAGAGAGAAAGAGAAGGAAAAAUGGGGGCGCCACCUCCCCUCCUUGUCCAAUUCGGAGUAGAGGGGGAGGGGGCCAGCGGCUGCCCUGGCCGCCCCUCCUCUUCUCCCACUAGGGCCCAUGAGGCCCAAUUAACUCCCCGGGGGUUUUUGAUAACCCCCUGGUACUCCGGUAUAUGCCCGAAACCUCCCGGAACCCUUUCGGUGUCCGAACAUAGUCGUUCAAUAUAUCGAUCUUUACGUCUCGACCAUUUCGAGACUCCUCGUCAUGUCCGUGAUCACAUCCGGGACUCCGAACUACCUUCGGUACAUCAAAACAUAAAAACUUGUAAUAUCGAUCGUCACAGAACUUUAAGCGUGCGGACCCUACGGGUUCGAGAACUAUGUAGACAUGACCGAGACACGUCUCCGGUCAAUAACCAAUAGCGGAACCUGGAUGCUCAUAUUGGUUCCUACAUAUUCUACGAAGAUCUUUAUCAGUCAAACCGCAUAACAACAUACGUUGUUCCCUUUGUCAUCGGUAUGUUGCUUGCCCGAGAUUCGAUCGUCGGUAUCUCAAUACCUAGUUCAAUCUCGUUACCGGCAAGUCUCUUUACUCAUUCCGUAAUGUAUCAUCCCGAAACUAACUCAUUAGUUACAAUGCUUGCAAGGCUUAUAGUGACACUACUAGGGAAAAGGCUAGCAGCAGCGCAGGUUUUAGGUGUAUCAGUAACGCGGGGAGUGGCGCUACUAAUAAGUCACUACAGCUAACACAUAGCAGUAGCGCGUGCUCACCAGCGCUACUGCUACACAAGUGUAGCAGCAACGCGCUUAGUGGAAGCUCGCUACUGCUAGUAGCUCUAGCGCGCUUUGCCUGGAUGCGCUACUACUAUCGCGGCGCUGCUACUAACUUUUAUACACUCGUUACUGCUAAUUUUAGUAGUUUUUUAUUUAUUUUUCGGCAUAUUUGUUUUGUAUUUGAACAGGCUUUAUAGAAGAAUCUUUAGCACAUACAAAUGUCAUCAUGAUACACAUACAAAUGCCUGCGAGACCACAAAUGUAAUCAUAGCAUAUACAUACAAAUAGUCGCAUGAUAAUCAUCAUCCAACACAAAGUGGUAUCUUGUCAUCAUCUCGAAAAUAGCAAUACAUGCAAGUCUCGAAUACUUGCAACUACAACAACAUCAUCCAUCUAAAUAAAGGUAUACGCGAGAAGAGCUAUUACUAUGAGUGAGAGCGGAACUAUGCAGUACAUGAGGUGGCGGUUACGAGUCCUCUCUCACGCUAGCAUGAACCUCAAGUAACUAGCUUCUCCUUCUUGUCUGCUUUUGAAGCCUUUAUGGCUGGCGCCCGUGAACCCAUUCACUUGCGCCUGACACUCAUGCCACUCGUUGUACACCCUCGGAACCUUCCCUUUGUACACGACAUAGCAAUUCCAUCUCGCCAUCAAGAAACUAGGUACCUGUUAGAGAUGCAUGUUCAUGAAGAGGAUGUACAAUCAUAUAUAUGCAACAAAAUAUACUAGAGCAACACCGAAAAAUAAAGGGUUAGCAACUAGAUGCAACAUACAAUACGUAAAUUAAUGAACUAGAGGUACGCAGGUCAUCGUACGCAAACUAACAAAGUAGCGUUACGCAAGUUUGGCAGGGACCAUGGACAUCACAAAGUUUCAUCGCUACAAAAAGUAUACAAGUUCAACCGACACAUAUCAUCAUCAUCGGCAUCAUAAAUCACUAGAAGUUCCAUCCUUCCAUAUCAUCGAGGAUGGACCCUAGAUUCUUGGCCGGCGUGAGAUCUAGACGUUGCAUGCCUAUGCGAGUUCGGACGUCAGCUCGCAAUAUAGGGCCGUGGUGGAACAUCCCCUUCUCAUCGAAGACUUCUUUCAUGAUGAUCAUCGCAAUGUCGCUUUGGAUGCGAAAUAAGUCAUCUCUAAGUUUAUAAUCCGCUUCUCCAUGAGAUUCUAGCCACUUGUGGAUAUGAUCAUCAUUUCUGCUUCUCAUGUGAAGCUUUUGGUGAUCCGUGUUGAACUGAAUCAUGAGAUGGACGAUGUAGAAUCCAUCCUUCUUGCUUGGUUUUGGGACAUGGAUGCAGGAGAAGUUAGUUUUAUGCGCGAAACCCAUCUUCUUGUUCCUUUGUUUCCUGAUCUGCACGUGGCCACCUCUAAAGCUGAAGCCUUGGAGAGCAUCAUCUAGAAUAUUCAUUAUGUGGGUGUAGUCUUUUUUCUUGUAGUCUCUGGAAGGGUCAAAAUACACGGCGUGGGAGACUUGCGCGUAAAGAACGAUAUGGACGGCGCGCCCGUUGCUGCGGGGAAAGACACCUCAAAUUAUUCCCCAUAUGAGAGAGAAGGAAUGAUUGAAAUGUACGAAAGGGUUGUCCGGAACUGACUUACUUUGGAUGAUAAGGCACGAGGACAAUUUCCCGGUCCUUAUUCUGUACCAUGAAGUUUUGGAGCUACUCCCUAGCAGUUUCACGCUCAAAGUCGCCAAGACUCAAGAAAGACUCGUGCAUGUAGUACGGAUCCGCCACACAGAUUUGUGAGACUUCUUCACUCUUCAUGACGGAGCUCAUAUGUAGCGCAAAAAGGCGGACGAUUGUAAAAUCGAGCCGCCUUGUUAGAAACAUCUCAAAGAUAUGGUCAAACCGCAGGAAGAACACCUCCGCGGGCCGUGUCUCGACGUAGCACUUCCCCUCAGGCACACGAGCCGCGUAUGUCGGAUAUCCUGGAUCCUUUGAGGCUAGUAGGCUUUUCUCAGUCGACAACACAUGGUCGUGCAGUCUCCUGAGAUCCCCUGAUAGUGCCUCCAGCGGUUUCGGCGGUAGCAUCGGCUCGCGCGUGAGAUGGAACAUGACCGCACCUUUCACGGGUACACGCUCUUCAGAAUGCAUCGUCUGGCUGCUAUGUGCUCUGGCUUGUUUGGAGGCAGCUAUCUUCCCCGAUCUCUUCCUCUCCUUUUUCUUGGGCACACCUUCCAGACCCUUCCUUAACCCCUGCCCCAAUGUUCCCGGGCUAAGUACUGUACGACCCUCGCGCCCGGCUAGUUGAGCCUGUGUUGAGGCGGCAUCUUCAGGCGUGUCCUGUGAGGAUUUCACGAAGAGAGACUUUUUGCAAUCCCUGCUACGACCUUCCUGCCUGGGCAUAUCAUCCAUGUCCUCAUUAGCAAGUUGAUAGCCUAAUUCGUCAUAUGGUUGACUCAUCAUAUCUAUGUCACAGUCAUAUGCGUUUGUAUUGAGGAAAUCCAUACGGUCGACCUCCGUCUUAUCAUCCAUUCUCUAUUCUACACGACAAAUUACAUCAGCCAGUACUAUUUCACCCCCUUCAUCAUGUCGUCCGCCGCUCUCACCCGGCACGACAGGAGCUGAUAAUUGCGUAGGCGGGGUGGUGGUCUCCGCACAUGCUUGUUGAUGUGUGGUUAUUGGUGUGCUCUCAGCCGGCUCCAAACGAAUAAGAUUCUUCGGCCAUAGCAGCACCCAACCCUUGCAGCUUCCAAUCCGCGGCGGCGUCUCGUCGUCCGCUCCCACAUGCUGUACUGGAGGAGGCAAAUCCUCGUGCCCCGAUUUCACACUAGUCAAGCUAACCCUGAAGUGCCCAGCGGGGAUCGGCUGGUUGUGGAACGUGGGUUGUGAGGGGUCCAUUAUCAUCCCCUUUCACACGUCCACUUUCUGGCCUUUGAUCAAGUAGAGUAUGGUGCACGGGGUUUCUUUCGCCUGCAAACACAUAUGUCUUUGGCUUAAAACAACCGAAAGGCACAAAAAUGGAAUAUUAUAUAUAUAUAUAUAUAUAUAUAUAUAUAUAUAUAUAUAUAUAUAUAUAUAUGUUGGUGCGACAGGUAAUUACCGUGAUGGCGUCGAGCUCAGCCAAAGACGAAGGCCCACCUAGCGCGCCAGAGACUGAGGACGUGCUGCUAUGAGCGGGAGCGGCUGCGAGAGGAGGCCCGGUUGCGUGAGCAAGUGAUGGUGCGAUGGGGUCGUUGUUCAUGGAGUUUCUCCCGACGAAACUGGGCAAGGGGAAAUCAUGUACCGUCUUGUCUGGAUUUUCCUUCGUCCAGUUGAUGAUAACUGGAACCAAGUUAGUAGCAAAAUCAUUUCUGCAGGCAGUUACAGCUGCAUUGACUGCCUGCUGUAGCAACUCACAUUUGUCCUCGGCUGCUUUUUUCACGUCCUCAGCUGCUUUUUUUCUCGACCGCAAGCUUCACCUUCGCGUCGAUGUCCGCCUAACUAAACUUCUUUUUCUGCUUCUUGGCCUCCGGGCCCUCGUUGUAAAACACCUUCCACGUGGCGCCGUCUCCAGCGCCGUGUACACGACCAUAUUGCGGCCGCUGGCCCAAAGGGAGUCCCUUAAGUUCGUUCAAGGCCCGGUUGAGAGGGGUGUCCCACUUGGGCCUCAUCGGAGAAGCAGGGCUUUCGGCUGCAAGCUGGUUUUGCUUCUCCAGUAGUCUAAUCAAUUUCCUCGUGAUCUUGUCCGUGUAAAAAAACCUUUUUCUCCUUGUCCCACUUGUAGCGGGCCCUGAUGAAGUCACGCUCCAAGGGGUUGGUGAACUUCGCGAAGGGGUCUGGGAGACCCGCGGCUUCACGUUCCGCGUCCUCCUUAUCCCAUAUGGGCCUUUUACCGAGGUAGCCACGGCUUCCGAGGCGAUGCUUCCCCGUGUUCCUUUGCUGAAGGCUCUUGAAUUUUGCAGCCUUAGCCUUGGCUGCCUCGGUAGCGCAAGUGUCCUUGAACUUUUCGAACUCCUCUUCCGUAAGUGUCGGAUUUUCCUCUAGAAUCUUGGACAGGGGUUCAUCAGCCUCAAUAGUUUGUUUCACCCUCCCUUUCCAGGAGGCCAAAUCAUUGCUGAACAUGCCCAUGGCGUGAUUGUUAAUCUUUUUCAUCUUCGGAUCAUCCCACGGUUGUUCUAUGUUAUCAUCCCGGUCGGGGAACUUGAAUCUCUUGUGCAACUUCGUUAGGAGCAACUGCGUCAAAUGUUCUUUACUCCUUAAGUCAUCGUCGUUGAUGCUCACGCAUUCCCGUAGGAUGCAUCCUACUUGGUUCCCAUAGCACUUGCGAGGUUCUUCCGGCUCUAACGGCUCAAACUUGCCAGGUGCCAUCUUUGUGAUCACAAGUCGUCCAAUCCCUAGUUUGUUAGGUUUUCGUAUCCUCUGCUUCUUAUGCUUCCUCUUUUCGGUAGCGGCAUCGGGGCCGGUACUUUCACCGCCGGUACCUUCCCCACCGGUCUCGGCGCCGCCAUCGGUGCCGGCGCCGUCGGUGUCGAUGUCGGCGUCAGUACCAUCAUCGAGGCCGACCUGCAAACCUUUCUUAGCAGUCAAAUAAUUGAGGUACUCUUGUUCACCCUCAUAAUCCAUCUCGUCUGCAUAUUGGUCAGAAGGCCCAGUUUCUUCGUUGUUUGACAUGUUUCCUAUGAUUAAGUGUCCUCAUUUAUUUCUAAAAGUAUGAAUAAAUGAGAAAUGACAUAAAAAAAGAAAUCUAUGUGCCAGCACUCGAUAUGCCAACUAUGUAGCACAAAUCAUGCCUUUAUUCACGGGAAAUUUCGGCAUGACCUUUGCUAAAAAAAUGGACAUUUCGAGCGCCUGAAAUUCACCGGAACGGAAAUGAAUCAACAUUCCGGCGUAACAUAGGCCACUCGGAUCAUUUUCCAAACAUGACAUGUCCAAAACAUGACAUAUCCACAUAUCACAUGUCCAGUUCAAAUUUGCAUAUAAAUUCAGCUAAUUUUGAAACCUAGCUAAAUUCAUAACUAAAUAGAUAACCUAACUAAAACCCAUGUAAAUUAACCGAAGAACGCUAGCAAAGAGAGAGGGGGGGUUUCCAGAGGGUGUAGGGGUGAGGAAGCAGGCCCGACGACGGCCGAGGUUGGGAGGGGAGGAAGCAGAGGAGGGAGGCGAGGGCCGACGGGUCGGGGGCGAGCGCACCGGGGUCGGGGGNNNNNNNNNNGCAUUCCCGUAGGAUGCAUCCUACUUGGUUCCCAUAGCACUUGCGAGGUUCUUCCGGCUCUAACGGCUCAAACUUGCCAGGUGCCAUCUUUGUGAUCACAAGUCGUCCAAUCCCUAGUUUGUUAGGUUUUCGUAUCCUCUGCUUCUUAUGCUUCCUCUUUUCGGUAGCGGCAUCGGGGCCGGUACUUUCCCCGCCGGUACCUUCCCCACCGGUCUCGGCGCCGCCAUCGGUGCCGGCGCCGUCGGUGUCGAUGUCGGCGUCAGUACCAUCAUCGAGGCCGACCUGCAAACCUUUCUUAGCAGUCAAAUAGUCGAGGUACUCUUGUUCACCCUCAUAAUCCAUCUCGUCUGCAUCUUGGUCAGAAGGCCCAGUUUCUUCGUUGUUUGACAUGUUUCCUAUGAUUAAGUGUCCUCAUUUAUUUCUAAAAGUAUGAAUAAAUGAGAAAUGACAUAAAAAAAGAAAUCUAUGUGCCAGCACUCGAUAUGCCAACUAUGUAGCACAAAUCAUGCCUUUAUUCACGGGAAAUUUCGGCAUGACCUUUGCUAAAAAAAUGGACAUUUCGAGCGCCUGAAAUUCACCGGAACGGAAAUGAAUCAACAUUCCGGCGUAACAUAGGCCACUCGGAUCAUUUUCCAAACAUGACAUGUCCAAAACAUGACAUAUCCACAUAUCACAUGUCCAGUUCAAAUUUGCAUAUAAAUUCAGCUAAUUUUGAAACCUAGCUAAAUUCAUAACUAAAUAGAUAACCUAACUAAAACCCAAGUAAAUUAACCGAAGAACGCUAGCAAAGAGAGAGGAGGGGUUUAUAGAGGGUGUAGGGGCGAGGAGGCAGGCCCGACGACAGCCGAGGUUGGGAGGGGAGGAAGCAGAGGAAGGAGGCGAGGGCCGACGGGUCGGGGGCGAGCGCACCGGGGUCGGGGGCGAGCGCCUGGGUCUGGGGCGAGUGCCGGCACCGGGGUCGGGGGCGAGGGCCGAGUCGGGGCCAGCGCCGGGNNNNNNNNNNNCGGGGGCGAGGGCCGAGUCGGGGCGAGCGCCGGGGUCGGGGGCGAGGGCCGGGUCGGGGGCGAGCGCCGGCGCUGGGGUCGGGGGCAAGCGCCGGGGCCAGGUCGGGCGCGGCGGUGCGACGGGGGAAGAGAGAGUGGGGAUUUUGGGGGAAAUGGCGGGAUGAAGCAGGAAGAGUGAGAAUUUUGGGUUAAGUGGACGUAGCAGUAGCGCGUUUGGACAAAGCACGCUGCUACUACCUUCAGUAGCUGUAGCAGUUUAUAUGACAUGCGCUACUACUACCUUCAGUAGUUGUAGCGGUUUAGACAAAACGCGCUGCUACUACCUUCGCUACUGCCAGUUUUCCUUUUCCUUUUCCUUUAUUUUCUCCCACUUUUAUUUCCCGAGAGCAGUGAACGAAGGGAGGGCGAUAUAUAUUGCAUCAUUUGACGGUUAAAUAUGUAUGCAAAAUAGGAAUAUAUAUAUUACAUCAUUGGACCCAUGCAUAAUAAUGACUAAGUAUGUAUACAAAAUAGGAACAUAUAUAUAUAGGACAACACUAUUCUAAUCCCGGGAUUAGAAUAGUUAUUUGGAUCACAACGUCCUAGGGAGCCGCGAAGAUGAUCCCGAACCAGAGCGAGCGAACCGAAGAAGCCCACUGUGAGCGCGAGGAAAAAAAGCCCACCCUGGACCCCUCGUGGCCUCGUCACACACCUCUCGAUCCCCACCCGAGCCACCUCCCGACCGCCGCCGCCGCCCACCGCCUACCUGGCGUUGCCUCGCGGGCCGGGAUCCAGCCACCGACGAGCGGAUCCUUGCUAGCUUGCCGCCGCCACACGCAAGCACCUCACCCCCGAGCCGCCUCCCCACUUUCCCACACGUGGCCGCCGUCCUCCAUUGUUGCUUCACCGACGGCCGGCUGCGCCAGGCCAGCGCCGUCCCCAAUGGCGCAGCGGCCAAGCACCUCCAUUGAACGUGCCGGCGGCUCAGGCCACCCGACACGGCCCCUCCCUCAAACGCACUGCCCCAACCUUCUCUAACGGAGCCGACGGCGACCACCGGAGCUUUCCUGAGGCGUGCCGCAUGCUCCUACUAGCCGGGGCUGGGCGCACCUCGUCUGGAAAGAAGAAACUUCACCGAGCAUGUGAAGUUCGGCCGGUGAACCUGUGCAGUCCGACGGUGCUUGCAUGCUUGUAUCCGGUAGCAUACAUUGCGGAUGUAUCAAAAGGCAAGCACCGAUCUCUUUCGUUACUAAACAAUAGUGUGUGCUAUUUGAUGAAAUGGAUUCACAAUGAAGUGGGCAAAAUUUCUCGUGUUUAAGUUGAGUCAUUGUGGCCUUAAUCAUCUUGUGCGAGUAGAAAAAAUUUGGUUGCUUCACAUGUACCUGUGCGGCUCUGUUGGUGGUUUUCUGCCUGAGGUUGAAGUUGGCAGCCAACCUGGACUACCAGCCCACGCGCGGAUUAGGCGCUGCCUGCAGCUGAAGGAGAGGUAGGCCUACAGUUGGAGGAGGCCCUGGCCUUCAGCUGGCAAUUUAGAGGAACUUGCCACUAUGAAAAUCUGAAAAUCUAACUUGACACCAUACUUGUUUUUGUUAUUCAGAAGUUCAGGUAGCUAGCUUGCUCACUAUGAAAACCUUCUCUGUAUGUGCUAAUUAGUACGUACUACUAAGCAAAAAUAAUCUUGUGAAGUGGAUGACGCUGGCCAUGGGAGAUUUUGAUGGCACUAUAGUGAUGACAACCUCCAGCAGUUCGCAUAUACCCCAGGCCGCAGCCCAGCUUCUCCGUCAUUAGCGUGACAUGCAACACCACACCACUACAGACACUUCCCUGAAUUUACCAAUGAUUGCUUUAUUGCUCAUGCGAGACACCGCCGGGGGAGUUUAUGGGUGUUGUCACUGGGACGAUAUGGAGAAUGGAGGCAUCCAGAACAUGACCUAGUGGAUAGACUGGAGGAGCAAUCAGACACGCCCAUGGCGUCUGGACGUAGACGAUGGUAGCUCGGCAGUGCUGUGGCCUGCUGCUGCUGGGUGAGUUCGUGUCCUAGCGAUGUGUGUAUGUGCUGAUGGUGUGAGUUCGUGUUGUAUAUCUGUGCACACGAACAGGAAAUGUUUCAGAUCUUGUAGCCUGCUCAUGUGCACUACAAGUGUUUGUGUUUAUGCCCCAAGGAAGAAAACAUGUUAUUUUUAACCGAGAACAUAAUUUAAAACACAAACUUGGGCAACCAAGCUAUCUAUGUUUUUCUAUCACAAAAUAAAUCACGCCAAAGCAGAUUCAAAACUUCAUAUAUGAAUUACAAAAUAUUUUGCAUGGGGUUCCAGUUUGUUUGUUUGUUGAUUCAAAACUUCAUGAAGUUCGAUGUCUAUAAAAAAGGAUUUUGAGCAAAGAAUGAUUCCCCCUAUUCAAAAAAAUAUAGAAGUUCAGAUUAAAAUAACAGUGUAGUUUAACGUUAAAAAAACCAGAAUUUUGCUUUAAAAAAAAUCAAAUCCUAGAAGUUCAAUUUAGAAAAAAUGAUCAUUUGAUUUUCAUCGUUUCAAAAAGACCCCAAGAGGUUUAGUUUAAGGAACCUAAGAAGUGCGAACUUAAAAACUCAAAAUUUCCUUGGAGCUAAACAAAUAAAAAAUGAGAACUUCAAAAUAAAAAAACAGAGUAGUUCGAUGUAUACGAAAAAUCAAAUUAUUUUUGUUUCGAGGAAAAAUAGAAGUAUGAAAGUUCAAUUUUAAAUAAAUUGUUUAAUGCUUAUUUGAAAACAUAUUUUUUCUAAGAAUAAGACUAAGAAGUUCAAAUUAAAAAAAACAGAGAAGUUCGACAUAUAUAAAAAGCUCAGAUUUUUUCUUGUUACUAAAGAAAUAAAAUGAAGAACAUCAAAUUAAAAUAAAUGGAACAACUAAAAAAAGUUUACAAAGUGUUGAUGUUUAUUAAAAAAUCUAGGAUUUUCACAAAUAUCCGUUUUUGUUAAAUUAUCAACGAUGAAGUUCAAAUUGAGAAGUUAGUCAAAUUUGAUGUUUAUUGAAAAACCAAAAACAAUUCUUUAGUCAAAAUAUAGAAAGGUGAAAUUCAAAUUGAAAUAACAGGGAAGUUCGGAGUUUAUUAAAACCUAGGAUUUACCUGUUCCGAAAAUAAAAAACACAACGCCAUUUUUUGCACUUUUAAAAACAACUCAUAAAUGGAAAAAAUGGUUGCUAAAAGUUCAAGUGCUCGGCGAGCAAAAGUUCAAAAAAUUCUUGUGAGAGAGGUUCCCCGUGUAUUUAGAUGUCCGAAAUACAUCAAAAAAUAUGUUGUCUUUUGUGUUUUAAAAUAAUUCUCUCAAACUAGAGAAAAUUUCAAAGUGAUAACAACUGGAAGUUCACGUACUACAUGGUGUGUGUUUCAUAUAAGAAAAAUACAAUAAAGUGGAACAGAGUGAAGUUCAAACAGACAUGCUCUAGAAGUUCAACUCCUUCACGCAGUGCAAAAAACAGCACGUCAAAAACAGAGUGAAGCUCAAACAGACAUGCCCGAGAAGUUCAACUACUUCACGCAGUGCAUUUCCAUUCGCGAUGAAGGCAGAAAUCAUGAUUUCCUCAUUUUCUAAUUUAUUUCAAAAUGGCAGGAAGUGAAAGUUCAAGUCCUCGGUAAAAUAAAGUUAAAAAAAUAUUGUGAGAUAGGUUUGUACAAAAAGAAUAUCAUUUGUGUAACACUAACGAAUGGAUGAGAAAAUUACAAAUGAAAAUACGUCACAGAAGAUCAACAUGAAAACAGCAGGAAGUUCAACUACUAUGCUGAAUGAAUUUCAGACGAAAAACUUUUAAAAUCAUCGCGAGUAUGAAAAAAUGAUCAACACGGGAAAAUUGCGUGUUUACAGUAGCUUUCCAUUGGUAUAUCAGUUGCUCAAUUAUGGUGAGUGGAUGGAGAGCUACGAGCAGUGGAUGGAGAGCUACGAGCAAAAAAAGCAUGUGAAAAACAGAGUGAAGUUCAGGUAGACAUGCCGAGAAGUUCAAGUUCUUCACGCGGUGCAUUUUCAGAGAAUCUGUUUCACGACAAAGGCAGAACGAAUGAUCUCACUUGUUUUCGAAAUUACUUGAAAACGACUAGGAAUCAGAGAAAACCAUCAACAUGAAAAAGUUUUGCAUUUUCGGUAGCUUUUUAGCGGUAUAUUAUUUGCCCAUUCCGAUAAAUGUUGUAAAAAUUACAACAAAACACAUUUUUAGCCAUUUUCAAAACUGACAUAAAAUUGUAGAUAAUUGGGAGAAAAAAUAUAUACACGAAAGUUUCGCAUUUGUUCAGGCUUUCCAACGGCGUAUCAUUUGCUGCAUUCGGACUUACGGUUAAAAAAUUAGCUCGAAAAUACAAACUCGGUGAAAUUUGUACUAUUUUCUAAAUUACUUUUAAACCGUUCGAAAUUACAAAAAACUUUCAACAUGGAAAAGUAGCUCAUUUUCAUAAUCUUUCUAACGCCAUAUCAUUUGCCUCAAUUGGAUUAGCCGUUUCGAAAUGACAUCGAAAAUACAAACUCGGCUGUUCGGUUUAUGAAAUUUUACGUUUUCCCAAAUUACUUUUUAACCAUAUGGAAUUAGAGAAAAUUUUCAACAUGUGGAAUGAGCGGUUUUACAGCAGCUUUCCAACGCCAUAUUAUUUGCCUGCUUCCGAUGAAUGGUCUUGAAAUGCGAUCGAAAAUACGAUUCACAUUUUUUGUAUGAAGAACAAACGGUUUUCAAAACUGCUCUUAAACCGCUUACAUUUUGCCAAAAAUUUAACUUGGUUCAUGAUACUGGUGUCCAUAGCUUUCCAAUGGUAUAUCGCAAGCCCCAUUUGGGCAAUGUUGGCGGAAGUUCAACCUAGUACUGGGAGAAGUUCAGGUCGAACAACUCAGUCAGUAAAAUUGCAAAAAACACAAUUUCAUCACAACCCGAGAGCAAAAUCCGCCAACGAGCGAUAUUCCUAUUUAAAACCGGUAUUUAGUUGCUAAAAAACGUUUCUAGAUUACACUAACAUCAUAUAGAACACGUCUAACAAGAAUAAUUCGCGGGGGAAGCCACGGUUGCGAAGAUAGCCCGAAGGUCGGGUUCGUACAGAGGGAAGUUCAGGCGCGUUACUCAGGUGUUGGAAAUAUGCCCUAGAGGCAAUAAUAAAAGCAUUAUUAUUAUAUUUCCUUGUUCAUGAUAAUUGUCUUUAUUCAUGCUAUAAUUGUGUUAUUCGGAAAUCGUAAUACAUGUGUGAAUAACAGACACCAACAUGUCCCUAGUAAGCCUCUAGUUGACUAGCUCGUUGAUCAACAGAUAGUCAUGGUUUCCUGACUAUGGACAUUGGAUAUCAUUGAUGACAAGAUCACAUCAUUAGGAGAAUGAUGUGAUGGACAAGACCCAAUCCUAAACAUAGCACAAGAUCGUAUAGUUCGUUUGCUAGAGUUUUCCAAUGUCAAGUAUCUUUUCCUUAGACCAUGAGAUCGUGUAACUCCCGGAUACCGUAGGACUGCUUUGGGUAUACCAAACGUCACAACGUAACUGGGUGACUAUAAAGGUAGACUACGGGUAUCUCCGAAAGUGUUUGUUGGGUUGACACGGAUCAAGACUGGGAUUUGUCACUCCGUAUGACGGAGAGGUAUCACUGGGCCCACUCGGUAAUGCAUCAUCAUUAUGAGCUCAAAGUGACCAAGUGUCUGGUCACGGGAUCAUGCAUUACGAUACGAGUAAAGUGACUUGCCGGUAACGAGAUUGAACGAGGUAUUGGGAUACCGACGAUCGAAUCUCGGACAAGUAACAUAUCGAUUAACAAAGGGAAUUGUAUACGGGGUUGCUUGAAUCCUUGACAUCGUGGUUCAUCCGAUGAGAUCAUCGAGGAGCAUGUGGGAGCCAACAUGGGUAUCCAGAUCCCGCUGUUGGUUAUUGGCCGGAGAACUGUCUCGGUCAUGUCUACGUGUCUCCCGAACCCGUAGGGUCUACACACUUAAGGUUCGGUGACGCUAGGGUUGUAGGGAUAUGUAUAUGCAGUAACCCGAAUAGUUGUUCGGAGUCACGGAUGAGAUCCCGGACGUCACGAGGAGUUUCGAAAUGGUUCGUAGGUAAAGAAUUAUAUAUAUGAAGUGCUAUUUCGGCCAUCGGGACAAGUUUCGGGGUCACCGGUAUUGUACCGGGACCACCGGAAGGGUCCCGGAGGUCCACCGGGUGGGGCCACCUAUCCCGGAGGGCCCCAUGGGCUGAGGUGGGAAGGGACCCAGCCCAAAGUGGGCUGGGGUGCCACUCCCCUAAGGGCCCAUGCGCCUAGGGUUGGGGGAAACCCUAAAGGGGGCGCCCCCUUGCUUGGGGGGCAAGCCCCCCACCCUUGGCCGCCGCCCCCCUAGGAGAUUGGAUCUCCUAGGGCCGGCGCCCCCUCUAGGCCCCCUAUAUAUAGUGGGGUGGAUGGAGGACUUCUCACCUUUGCCUUUGGUGCCUCCCUCUCCCUCUCCAACACCUCCUCCUCCUCCAUAGAGCUUGGCGAAGCCCUGCCGGAGUACUGCAGCUUCAUCACCACCACGCCGUCGUGCUGCUGCUGGAGCCAUCUUCCUCAACCUCUCCUUUCCCCUUGCUGGAUCAAGAAGAAGGAGACGUUACACUGACCGUACGUGUGUUGAACGCGAAGGUGCCGUCCGUUCGGCGCUAGGAUCUCCGGUGAUUUGGAUCACGUCGUGUACGACUUCCUCAUCCCCGUUCUUUGAACGCUUCCGCGCGUGAUCUACAGAGUUAUGUAGAUGCAAUCCAAUCACUCGUUGCUAGAUGAACUCAUAGAUGGAUCUUGGUGAAACCGUAGGAAAAUUUUUGUUUUCUGCAACGUUCACCAACAGUGGCAUCAUGAGCUAGGUCUAUGCGUAGUUCUCUUGCACGAGUAGAACACAAUUUGUUGUGGGCGUAGACGUUGUCAACUUUCUUGCCGCUACUAGUCUUAUCUUGCUUCAGCGGUAUUGUGGGAUGAAGCGGCCCGGACCAACCUUACACGUACGCUUAUGUGAGACCGGUUCCACCGACUGACAUGCACUAGUUGCAUAAGGUGGCUGGCGGGUGUCUGUCUCUCCCACUUUAGUUGGAGCGGAUUCGAUGAAAAGGGUCCUUAUGAAGGGUAAAUAGAAGUUGACAAAUCACGUUGUGGCUUUCACGUAGGUAAGAAAACGUUCUGGCUAGAACCCUACUUCAGGCACGUAAAACUUGCAACAACAAUUAGAGGACGUCUAACUUGUUUUUGCAGCAAGUGUUUUGUGAUGUGAUAUGGCCAAAGUUGUGAUGAAUGAUGAAUGAUAUAUAUGUGAUGUAUGAGAUGUUCAUGCUAUUGUAAUAGGAAUCACGACUUGCAUGUCGAUGAGUAUGACAACCGGCAGGAGCCAUAAGAGUUGUCUUUAUUUUUUAUAUGGCCUGCGUGUCAUUGAGAAACGCCAUGUAAAUUACUUUACUUUAUUGCUAAACGCGUUAGCCAUAGUAGUAGAAGUAAUAGUUGGCGAGCAACUUCAUGGAGACACGAUGAUGGAGAUCAUGAUGAUGGAGAUCAUGGUGUCAAGCCAGUGACAAGAUGAUCAUGGAGCCACAAGAUGGAGAUCAAAGGAGCUAUGUGAUAUUGGCCAUAUCAUGUCACUAUUAUUAUUUGAUUGCAUGUGAUGUUUAUCAUGUUUUGCAUCUUGUUUACUUAGAACGACGGUAGUAAAUAAGAUGAUCCCUCAUAAUAAUUUCAAGAAAGUGUUCCCCCUAACUGUGCACCGUUGCGACAGUUCAUUGUUUCGAAGCACCACGUGAUGAUCGGGUGUGAUAGAUUCUAACGUUCACAUACAACGGGUGUAAGACAGAUUUACACAUGCAAACACUUAGGUUGACUUGACGAGCCUAGCAUGUAUAGACAUGGCCUCGGAACACAGAAGACCGAAAGGUCGAGCAUGAGUCGUAUAGAAGAUACGAUCAACAUGAAGAUGUUCACCGAUGUUGACUAGUCCAUCUCACGUGAUGAUCGGACACGGCCUAGUUGACUCGGAUCAUGUUAUACUUAGAUGACUAGAAGAGGGAUGUCUAUCUAAGUGGGAGUUCAUUGAAUAAUUUGAUUAGAUGAACUUAAUUAUCAUGAACUUAGUCUAAAAUAUUUACAAUAUGUCUUGUAGAUCAAAUGGCCAACGUUGUCCUCAACUUCAACGCGUUCCUAGAGAAAACCAAGCUGAAAGACGAUGGUAGCAACUAUACGGACUGGGUCCGGAACCUGAGGAUCAUCCUCAUAGCUGCCAAGAAAGAAUAUGUCCUACUAGCACCGCUAGGUGACCCACCCGUUCCACAGAACCAAGACAUUAUGAACGCUUGGCAGACACGUGCUGAUGACUACUCCCUCGUUCAGUGCGGCAUGCUUUACAGCUUAGAGUCGGGGCUCCAAAAGCGUUUUGAGAGACAUGGAGCAUAUGAGAUGUUCAAAGAGCUGAAAAUGGUUUUUCAAGCUCAUGCCCGGGUCGAGAGAUAUGAAGUCUCCGACAAAUUCUUCAGCUGUAAGAUGGAGGAAAAUAGUUCUGUCAGUGAGCACAUACUCACUAUGUCUGGGUUACAUAACCGCUUGACUCAGCUGGGAGUUAAUCUCCCGGAUGACGCGGUCAUUGACAGAAUCCUCCAGUCGCUUCCACCAAGCUACAAGAGCUUCGUGAUGAACUUCAAUAUGCAGGGGAUGGAAAAGACCAUUCCUGAAGUAUUUGCAAUGCUGAAAUCAGCAGAGGUAGAAGUCAAAAAGGAACAUCAAGUGUUGAUGGUGAAUAAAACCACUAAGUUCAAGAAGGGCAAGGGUAAGAAGAACUUCAAGAAGGAUGGCAAGGGAGUUGCCGUGCCCGGUAAGCAAGCUACCAGGAAGAAGCCAAAGAAUGGACCCAAGCCCGAGACUGAGUGCUUUUAUUGCAAGGGAAGUGGUCACUGGAAGCGGAACUGCCCCAAAUACUUAGCGGACAAAAAGGCCGGCAAAACGAAAGGUAUAUGUGAUAUACAUGUAAUUUAUGUGUACCUUACCAGUACUCGUAGUAGCUCUUGGGUAUUUGAUACCGGUGCAGUUGCUCACAUUUGUAACUCAAAGCAGGAGCUGUGGAAUAAGCGGAGACUGGCGAAGGACGAGGUGACGAUGCGCAUCGGGAAUGGUUCCAAGGUCGAAUGUGAUCGCCGUCGGCACGCUGCCUCUUCAUUUACCUACGGGAUUAGUUUUAAACCUCAAUAAUUGUUAUUUAGUGCCAGCUUUGAGCAUGAACAUUGUAUCGGGAUCUCGUUUAAUUCGAGAUGGCUACUCAUUUAAAUCCGAGAAUAAUGGUUAUUCUAUUUAUAUGAGAGAUAUGUUUUAUGGUCAUGCUCCGAUGGUGAAUGGUUUAUUCUUAAUGAAUCUCGAGCGUAAUGCUACACAUGUUCAUAGUGUGAAUACCAAAAGAUGUAAGGUUGAUAGUCCCACAUACUUGUGGCACUGCCGCCUUGGUCACAUAGGUGUCAAACACAUGAAGAAGCUCCAUACAGAUGGAGUUUUAGAGUCUCUUGAUUAUGAAUCAUUUGACACGAGCGAACCAUGCCUCAUGGGUAAAAUGACCAAGACUCCGUUCUCAGGAACAAUGGAGCGAGCAACCAACUUAUUGUAAAUCAUACAUACUGGUGUGUGCGGUCCAAUGAGCGUUGAGGCUCGCGGUGGCUAUCGUUAUGUUCUCACCCUCACUGAUGACUUGAGUAGAUAUGGGUAUGUCUACUUAAUGAAACACAAGUCUGAAACUUUUGAAAAGUUCAAGGAAUUUUAGAGUGAGGUUGAGAAUCAACAUGACAGAAAAAUCAAGUUCCUACGAUCAGAUCGUGGAGGAGAAUACUUGAGUCACGAAUUUGGCACACACUUAAGAAAAUGUGGAAUAGUUUCACAACUCACGCCGCCUGGAACACCUCGGCGUAAUGGUGUGUCCGAACAUCGUAAUCGCACUCUAUUAGAUAUGGUGCGAUCUAUGAUGUCUCUUACCGAUUUACCGCUAUCUUUUUGGGGCUAUGCUUUAGAGACUACCGCAUUCAUUUUAAAUAGGGCUCCGUCGAAAUCCGUUGAGACGACACCGUUUGAAUUAUGGUUUGGGAAGAAACCUAAGCUGUCGUUUCUAAAAGUUUGGGGAUGCGAUGCUUAGGUCAAGAGACUUCAACCUGAAAAGCUCGAACCCAAGUCGGAAAAAUGCGUCUUCAUAGGAUACCCUAAAGAAACCAUUGGGUAUACCUUCUACCUCAGAUCCGAAGGCAAGAUCUUUGUUGCCAAGAAUGGAUCCUUUCUAGAGAAGGAGUUUCUCUCGAAAGAAGUAAGUAGGAGGAAAGUAGAACUUGAUGAAGUAUUACCUCUUGAACCGAAAAAUGGCGCAACUCAAGAAAAUGUUCCUGAGAUGCCUACACCGAGUAGAGAGGAAGUUAAUGAUGAUGAUCAAGAUACUUCUGAUCAAGCUCCUACUAAAAUUUGAAGGUCCACAAGGACACGUUCCGCACCAGAGUGGUACGGCAACCCUGUCUUGGAAAUCAUGUUGUUAGACAACGGUGAACCUUCGAACUAUGAAGAAGCGAUGGCGGGCCCGGAUUCCGACAAAUGGCUGGAAGCCAUGAAAUCCGAGAUAGGAUCCAUGUAUGAAAACGAAGUAUGGACUUUGGCUGACUUGCCCGUUGAGCGGCGAGCCAUAGAAAAUAAAUGGAUCUUUAAGAAGAAGACAGAUGCGGAUGGUAAUGUGACCAUCUAUAAAGCUCGGCUUGUCGCUAAGGGUUAUCGACAAGUUCAAGGGGUUGACUACGAUGAGAUUUUCUCACCGGUAGCGAAGCUAAAGUCCGUCUGAAUCAUGUUAGCAAUUGCUGCAUUCUAUGACUAUGAGAUAUGGCAAAUGGACGUCAAAACGGCAUUCCUUAAUGGUUUCCUUAAGGAAGAAUUGUAUAUGAUGCAGCCGGAAGGUUUUGUCGAUCCUAAGAAUGCUGACAAGGUGUGGAAGCUCCAACGCUCGAUUUAUGGGCUGGUGCAAGCAUCUCGGAGUUGGAACAUUCGCUUUGAUGAGAUGAUCAAAGCGUUUGGGUUUACGCAGACUUAUGGAGAAGCCUGCGUUUACAAGAAAGUGAGUGGGAGCUCUGUAGCAUUUCUCAUAUUAUAUGUAGACGAUAUACUUUUGAUGGGAAAUGAUAUAGAACUCUUGGACAGCAUUAAGGCCUACUUGGAUAAGAGUUUUUCAAUGAAGGACCUUGGAGAAGCUGCUUAUAUAUUAGGCAUCGAAAUCUAUAGAGAUAGAUCGAGACGCCUCAUAGGUCUUUCACAAAGCACAUACCUUGAUAAGAUAUUGAACAAGUUCAAUAUGGAUCAAUCUAAGAAGGGGUUCUUGCCUGUGUUACAAGGUAUGAAAUUGAGCUCAGCUCAAUGUUCGACCACGGCAGAAGAUAUAGAAGAGAUGAGUGUCAUCCCCAAUGCCUCAGCCAUAGGCUCUAUUAUGUAUGCCAUGUUGUGUACCAGACCUGAUGUAAACCUUGCCGUAAGUUUGGUAGGAAGGUACCAAAGUAAUCCCGGCAAGGAACACUGGACAGUGGUCAAGAAUAUCCUGAAGUACCUGAAAAGGACUAAGGAAAUGUUUCUCGUUUAUGAAGGUGACGAAGAGCUCGUCGUAAAGGGUUACGUCGACGCUAGCUUCGACACAGAUCUGGAUGACUCUAAGUCACAAACCGGAUACGUGUAUAUUUUGAAUGGUGGGGCAGUAAGCUAGUGCAGUUGCAAGCAGAGCGUCGUGGCGGGAUCUACAUGUGAAGCGGAGUACAUGGCAGCCUCGGAGGCAGCACAUGAAGCAAUUUGGGUGAAGGAGUAUGCGUCGGGGCCAAUCAAACUCUUCUGUGACAACACUGGAGCUAUUGCACUUGUUAAGGAGCCCAGGUUUCACAAGAAGACAAGGCACAUCAAGCGUCGCUUCAACUCCAUCCGUGAAAAUGUUCAAGAUGGAGACAUAGAUAUUUGUAAAGUACAUACGGACCUGAAUGUAGCAGAUCCGUUGACUAAACCUCUCCCUAGAGCAAAACAUGAACACCAGAAUUCCAUGGGUGUUCGAUUCAUCACGAUGUAACUAGAUUAUUGACUCUAGUGCAAGUGGGAGACUGUUGGAAAUAUGCCCUAGAGGCAAUAAUAAAAGAAUUAUUAUUAUAUUUCCUUGUUCAUGAUAAUUGUCUUUAUUCAUGCUAUAAUUGUGUUAUUCGGAAAUCGUAAUACAUGUGUGAAUAACAGACACCAACAUGUCCCUAGUAAGCCUCUAGUUGACUAGCUCGUUGAUCAACAGAUAGUCAUGGUUUCCUGACUACGGACAUUGGAUGUCAUUGAUAACGAGAUCACAUCAUUAGGAGAAUGAUGUGAUGGACAAGACCCAAUCCUAAACAUAGCACAAGAUCGUAUAGUUCGUUUGCAAAACUGUAAUGCUCGACAAGCAGAAAAAAUUAUUUUUCCGGACUCAUCCCUCAAGACCAUCCCUCAAGAUUAUUUUUCCGGACUCUAACCAUAUAUUUUUCGGCAUAUUAUACAUAUUUUGUUAGUCCAAUCAAAGAUCUGAACCCCCAAUAUCAUAAACCCAACCGGAAGUAUAUACUUAUUAGCGUCCCUCUUUGGAACCGGUAAUAAUUGAGUUCCUCCAACCAGUUUGAGAUUGGGGCGCGUUUCUUUGGGUCUCGGGUGCCGAUACAUCCGAACUGAUAAAAAUAAUUUAGAAAUUGCAAAAAAAGUGAAAAAAUCAUGAUUUCCUUAGAACAGACAUGAUAUUGUGUUACACUCAUGUGAAAAGAUUCACGAAUGAAUGACUUUCGUGUACUCUGGGCGACAGAAACCAAAAUCGACACUAUAUAAAAGUUACUAUUUACGCUUUUAUACUCACAAAUUUCUCUUUUGCCCUAAAGUCAUUCUUUCGCGAAACUUUCUAUACGAAUAUAACAAUAUAUCAAGUAUGUUUUCAAAAUGUUCUACAAUUUUGUGACCUUUUUUUGCAAUUUCUAAAUUAUUUUUUCAGUAAUGUGUUUGCUAGUUCUUAGAAUAUCGCUCAUAACAUAAAUUUUUGUAACCCGAUCAUCCUUCGUUCACCCCGUUUUAUGUAUGUUUCCCCUACGUCUACUAGUUUAUAAUUUUUUCCUCCCACCUAUGGUGUUUUCCACCCAUUUUGAUAACUGGCUCAACAGCCCCAUAAAAUCUUGUUUUUUUGCAAGCAAUCACAUUAAUAAUAACAUGCCAGGUAAAUAACUGACUAACCUAUUAGAAGAUUUAUGCCCUCAUUGCAACGCAUGGGCAAUUAUCUAGUGUGACAAUAAAAAAAGGAGAUGAUACUCGGUACAUUCAUCAUCCAAAGGACACAUAUAGAGAGUUAGUCAAGACAUCAAGGAUGCAUAUGCUAUAGAAACGCAAAAAAAUCUGACAUGGGUAAAAGGGCUUUGUAACGAUAAUAUUGGAUAGUAAAAAAAUGUAUCUAAAUAAACAUUGGCAUGUUCUAUCUUUUAUAUCAAAAUAAUUUAUCAAUAUUUUUUUAAUUUAACCACAAGAUGAUUUACGACUAAAUAAAGAAGUUCAAUAUAAAAUAGGUGAUAAUUCUAUGCACCAAACAUAUUGACCAUAUUUGAGCAUAAUAUUUCAAAAGGAUGUUUUAUGCGCUUUUUAGGUUGCUCUUCCUUAUGAGUUUAAUUAUGACUUUUAUUUGACAAUAGACCCACAAAAUUUAGUAAAGUAUCAAAGGGGAGCAAUUAAGUAAGGGCAAGGGGCAGUGCUGGGUUUAAUAUCAAAACUGGUAAAAUAUUAACAUGUUUAGGAAUUAGGAAUAAUUACAUUAUGUCUUCGUUGGGUCCAAUAAAUAAGGUCAAAAAAUAAACAACCAGAGAUAAAUAAUCUUGAGCAGACAUUAGUGGUACGGAAAAUAACAUAUCAUGGUAUACCUUCAGGGUCAACUUCUUCUAAUAUAUUAGAUUGCAACAGAAGUUGCAAAAUCCUCAUUUCCUUUAAAAACAGCAAGAAGUAUACAGUCUAGCUGCAAAAACAACAAAACAGAUAAUUUUUUUUAUCAAAUAGCAAUAGUCACAUUGUGUUUCUGUUGGGUCCAGUGAAUUAUAAAACACAAACAUCAAUCAUUGCUAUUCAAGACAAGUGAUACAAUAAGGCCAAACUCGUUGGAAACAGUCAAGUAACAAAGAUGGAGGUGGACAGAUAAACACCCUAUCUAGUAGACCGGCACUAGAAAAUCAAUAGCAGUUUUAAUAAUGUUCAUUUACAUUUUCAAUGAAUACUUGAACCAUGCUUUCAAUCUCUUGAGCAGUACUGUCCAACUGACCAUCUAAGAAGCACAAACUGACUACCAACUUAAUAAAUAGACAUAUAAAAUGAACGGUAGCUCAUAAGUUAUAGUCACUUACCAACAGCAAGUUUACUAAGCCCAGGAAGAUCAAUAAGAGUCGGGUUCACAACUGCAAUGAUUAAAAGCGUUACGAUGCGACAAAAAUGAAAAGAACAAACAAUAUAAGAAAAUACAUAACAAGGGACAGAUACAGUAUGGCUAUCCUACCAAUGACAGAAAUAGUCCGUAAUAAACUUAUAAGCUUCUAAGGUAAAUCAGAACACACUUUGCAAGCAACAUUUUUUGAUAUCUAAUAAUGGAGGUACAUAAGACAGUUUGGUAUUGAGAGAGCAUUAAAGUAACACCAUUAAAACAGUUGGCAACAUUGCUGUCUGCAUAUCUUACCAUGUGAAGAAAAUAUGCUUAAAUGUAUGGGGACAGCUGAUAUUUGCUUUGAACAACCGACUAUCUCCGUCUUCACUUCAGCUGCAACGAUAGAGAUGUCACCAUGAGCCGAGUAUCAUCACGAUAAACUAGAAUAAAAUGAAUAAAAAAUAGCGCUUGACAGAAUUUCAGGGAAAUAGAUUUGUGGAAUUACCAAAACACGUGUAUUUUUUACUUUGCUCAUCAUGUAAAAACCCAGCAUACUCUCUAAUUCCAUCAAUUUUACGAAGCUGCACUAUCAGGGGAGGCGCGUGACAAUGCCCUUGGGUAGGAAAUCUUUUCCAACAAGGCACUCCAGCACUAAAGAUUUGUCGGCACCCUGCCAUAUAAUCAGAAGUUUCAAAUGUUAGGACAAAUACUAGGUACUCAAAAAACAGACAAAAUUGUGUGGUUCUUUUAGGCAAUCACACCCUCACACUAACCCAAUAUCUCUAUGGGGAACUAAACUGAACUAACAGAUUCAAACAAACAAUUAACAGCCAGCAUAGCAUUUCAUGCCUCUAGUUGAUCCUAAAUACCAGAUCCAGAUGCAACAAUAGAUCUCUAGGAUCUCUAGGCGCGAGAUUUAGAUGCAACGACAGUUCCCCUAGGCGAGAUCCAAGCAUAUAACCGCGCGUCUCCGGAACUAAACUGUAUUGGUUCUCAGUCAGGAUCACACAACGACAACGAUGAAUGCACACACGCGAGAGAGUCACACGUGAAUACAUAGGAACGGGAGUAUUUUUGCGACGCUCUGAUUCAGCGUCUUUUCUGUUUCUUUCCUUUAUUCGUUUGGAAACAGACUAAGAGCAUCUCUAGCAGACCUGUAUAAUGCCUCGACCCGUAAAAUAACCACCAAAAUACGGGUCCGUGCAGAAAAUGUUGCCCGAUCAGACCCCGCAAACGCGUCGGACCCGUAAAAAGUUUUGCAGGGCGCGGCAUAAUUGUUGGGGAACGUAGUAAUUUCAAAAAAAUCCUACACACACGCAAGAUCAUGGUGAUGCAUAGCAACGAGAUGGGAGGGUGUUGUCCACGUACCCUCGUAGAUCGAAAGCAGAAGCGUUAGAACAACACGGUUGAUGUAGUCGUACGUCUUCACGAUCCGACCGAUCCAAGUACCAAACGUACAGCACCCCCGAGUUCAGCACACGUUCAGCUCGAUGACGUCCCAUGAACUCCGAUCCAGCAGAGCUUCGAGGGAGAGUUCCGUCAGCACGACGGCGUGAUGACGAUGAUGAUGAUGAUGUUACCGACGCAGGGCUUCGCCUAAGCACCGCUAUGAUAUGACCGACGUGGAUUAUGGUGGAGGGGGGCACCGCACACGGCUAAAAGAUCAAUGAUCAAUUGUUGUGUCUAUGGGGUGCCCCCCUGCCCCCGUAUAUAAAGGAGCUAGGGGGGAGGCGGCCGGCCAGGAGGAGGGUGCGCCAAGGGGGGAGUCCUACUCCCAUCAAGAGUAGGACUCCUCUUUUCCUAGUAGGAGUAGGAGAAGGGAAGGAAGGAAGGGAGAGAGAAAGAGAAGGAAAAAUGGGGGCGCCGCCUCCCCUCCUUGUCCAAUUCGGAGUAGAGGGGGAGGGGGCCAGCGGCUGCCCUGGACACCCCUCCUCUUCUCCCACUAGGGCCCAUGAGGCCCAAUUAACUCCCCGGGGGGUUUCGAUAACCCCCCGGUACUCCGGUAUAUGCCCGAAACCUCCCGGAACCCUUUCAGUGUCGGAACAUAGUCGUUCAAUAUAUCGAUCUUUACGUCUCGACCAUUUCGAGACUCCUCGUCAUGUCCGUGAUCACAUCCGGGACUCCGAACUACCUUCGGUACAUCAAAACAUAAAAACUUGUAAUACCGAUCGUCACAGAACUUUAAGCGUGCGGACCCUACGGGUUCGAGAACUAUGUAGACAUGACCGAGACACGUCUCCGGUCAAUAACCAAUAGCGGAACCUGGAUGCUCAUAUUGGUUCCUACAUAUUCUACGAAGAUCUUUAUCGGUCAAACCGCAUAACAACAUACGUUGUUCCCUUUGUCAUCGGUAUGUUGCUUGCCCGAGAUUCGAUCAUCGGUAUCUCAAUACCUAGUUCAAUCUCGUUACCGGCAAGUCUCUUUACUCAUUCCGUAAUGUAUCAUCCCACAACUAACUCAUUAGUUACAAUGCUUGCAAGGCUUAUAGUGACACUACUAGGGAAAAGGCUAGCAGCAGCGCGGGUUUUAGGUGUAUCAGUAGCGCGGGGAGUGGCGCUACUAAUAAGGCACUACAGCUAACACAUAGCAGUAGCGCGUGCUCACCAGCGCUACUGCUACACAAGUGUAGCAGCAAUACGUUUAGUGGAAGCUCGCUACUGCUAGUAGCUCUAGCGCGCUUUGCCUGGAUGCGCUACUACUAUCGCGGCGCUGCUACUAACUUUUAUACACUCGCUACUGCUAAUUUUAGUAGUUUUUUAUUUAUUUUUCGGCAUAUUUGUUUUGUAUUUGAACAGGCUUUAUAGAAGAAUCUUUAGCACAUACAAAUGUCAUCAUGAUACACAUACAAAUGCCUGCGAGACCACAAAUGUAAUCAUAGCAUAUACAUACAAAUAGUCUCAUGAUAAUCAUCAUCCAACACAAAGUGGUAUCUUGUCAUCAUCUCGAAAAUAGCAAUACAUGCAAGUCUCGAAUACUUGCAACUACAACAACAUCAUCCAUCUAAAUAAAGGUAUACGCGAGAAGAGCUAUCACUAUGAGUGAGAGCGGAACUAUGCAGUACAUGAGGUGGCGGUUACGAGUCCUCUCUCACGCUAGCAUGAACCUCAAGUAACUAGCUUCUCCUUCUUGUCUGCUUUUGAAGCCUUUAUGGCUGGCGCCCGUGAACCCAUUCGCUUGCGCCUGACACUCAUGCCACUCGUUGUACACCCCCGGAACCUUCCCUUUGUACACGACAUAGCAAUUCCAUCUCGCCAUCAAGAAACUAGGUACCUGUUAGAGAUGCAUGUUCAUGAAGAGGAUGUACAAUCAUAUAUAUGCAACAAAAUAUACUAGAGCAACACCGAAAAAUAAAGGGUUAGCAACUAGAUGCAACAUACAGUACGUAAAUUAAUGAACUAGAGGUACGCAGGUCAUCGUACGCAAACUAACAAAGUAGCGUUACGCAAGUUUGGCAGGGACCAUGGACAUCACAAAGUUUCAUUGCUACAAAAAGUAUACAAGUUCAACCGACACAUAUCAUCAUCAUCGGCAUCAUAAAUCACUAGAAGUUCCAUCCUUCCAUAUCAUCGAGGAUGGACCCUAGCUUCUUGGCCGGCGUGAGGUCUAGACGUUGCAUGCCUAUGCGAGUUCGGACGUCAGCUCGCGAUAUAGGGCCGUGGUGGAACAUCCCCUUCUCAUCGACGACUUCUUUCAUGAUGAUCAUCGCAAUGUCGCUUUGGAUGCGAAAGAAGUCAUCUCUAAGUUUAUAAUCCGCUUCUCCAUGAGAUUCUAGCCACUUGUGGAUAUGAUCAUCAUUUCUGCUUCUCAUGUGAAGCUUUUGGUGAUCCGUGUUGAACUGAAUCAUGAGAUGGACGAUGUAGAAUCCAUCCUUCUUGCUUGGUUUUGGGACAUGGAUGCAGGAGAAGUUAGUUUUAUGCGCGGAACCCAUCUUCUUGUUCCUUUGUUUCCUGAUCUGCACGUGGCCACCUCUAAAGCUGAAGCCUUGGAGAGCAUCAUCUAGAAUAUUCAUUAUGUGGGUGUAGUCUUUUUUCUUGUAGUCUCUGGAAGGGUCAAAAUACAUGGCGUGGGAGACUUGCGGGUAAAGAACGAUAAGGACGGCGCGCCCGUUGCUGCGGGGAAAAGACACCUCAAAUUAUUCCCCAUAUGAGAGAGAAGGAAUGAUUGAAAUGUACGGAAGGGUUGUCCGGAACUGACUUACUUUGGAUGAUAAGGCACGAGGACAAUUUCCCGGUCCUUAUUCUGUACCAUGAAGUUUUGGAGCUACUCCCUAGCAGUUUCACGCUCAAAGUCGUCAAGACUCAAGAAAGACUCGUGCAUGUAGUACAGAUCCGCCACACAGAUUUGCGAGACUUCUUCACUCUUCAUGACGGAGCUCAUAUGUAGCGCAAAAAGGCGGACGAUUGUAAAAUCGAGCCGCCUUGUUAGAAACAUCUCAAAGAUAUGGUCAAACCGCAGGAAGAACACCUCCGCGGGCCGUGUCUCGACGUAGCACUUCCCCUCAGGCACACGAGCCGCGUAUGUCAGAUAUCCUGGAUCCUUUGAGGCUAGUAGGCUUUUCUCAGUCGACAGCACAUGGUCGUGCAGUCUCCUGAGAUCCCCUGAUAGUGCCUCCAGCGGUUUCGGCGGUAGCAUCGGCUCGCCCGUGAGAUGGAACAUGACCGCACCUUUCACGGGUACACGCUCUUCAGAAUGCAUCGUCUGGCUGCUAUGUUCUCUGGCUUGUUUGGAGGCAGCUAUCUUCCCCGAUCUCUUCCUCUCCUUUUUCUUGGGCACACCUUCCAGACCCUUCCUUAACCCCUGCCCCAAUGUUCCCGGGCUAAGUACUGUACGACCCUCGCGCCCGGCUAGUUGAGCCUGUGUUGAGGCGGCAUCUUCAGGCGUGUCCUGUGAGGAUUUCACGAAGAGAGACUUUUUGCAAUCCCUGCUACGACCUUCCUGCCCGGGCAUAUCAUCCAUAUCCUCAUUAGCAAGAUGAUAGCCCGAUUCGUCAUAUGGUUGACUCAUCAUAUCUAUGUCACAGUCAUAUGUGUUUGUAUUGAGGAAAUCCAUAUGGUCGACCUCCGUCUUAUCAUCCAUUCUCUAUUCUACAUGACAAAUUACAUCAGCCAGUACUAUUUCACCCCCUUCAUCAUGUCGUCCGCCGCUCUCACCCGGCACUACAGGAGCUGAUAAUUGCGUAGGCGGGGUGGUGGUCUCCGCACAUGCUUGUUGAUGUGUGGUUAUUGGUGUGCUCUCGGCCGGCUCCAGACGAAUAAGAUUCUUAGGCCAUAGCAGCACCCAACCCUUGCAGCUUCCAAUCCACGGCGGCGUCUCGUCGUCCGCUCCCACAUGCUGUACUGGAGGAGGCAAAUCCUCGUGCCCCGAUUUCACACUAGUCAAGCUAACCCUGAAGUGCCCAGCGGGGAUCGGCUGGUUGUGGAACGUGGGUUGCGAGGGGUCCAUUAUCAUCCCCUUUCCCACGUCCACUUUCUGGCCUUUGAUCAAGUAGAGUAUGGUGCACGGGGUUUCUUUCGCCUGCAAACACAUAUGUCUUUGGCUUAAAACAACCGAAAGGCACAAAAAUGGAAUAUUAUAUAUAUAUAUAUAUAUAUAUAUAUAUAUAUAUGUUGGUGCGACAGGUAAUUACCGUGAUGGCGUCGAGCUCAGCCAAAGACGAAGGCCCACCUAGCGCGCUAGAGACUAAGGACGGGCUGCUAUGAGCGGGAGCGGCUGCGAGAGGAGGCCCGGUUGCGUGAGCAAGUGAUGGUGCGAUGGGGUUGUUGUUCAUGGAGUUUCUCCCGACGAAACUGGGCAACGGGAAAUCAUGUACCGUCUUGUCUGGAUUUUCCUUCGUCCAGUUGAUGAUAACUGGAACCAAGUUAGUAGCGAAAUCAUUUCUGCAGGCAGUUACAGCUGCAUUGACUGCCUGCUGUAGCAACUCACAUUUGUCCUCGGCUGCUUUUUUCGCGUCCUCAGCUGCUUUUUUUCUCCACCGCAAGCUUCACCUUCGCGUCGAUGUCCGCCUGACUAAACUUCUUUUUCUGCUUCUUGGCCUCCGGGCCCUCGUUGUAAAACACCUUCCACGUGGCGCCGUCUCCAGCGCCGUGUACACGACCAUAUUGCGGCCGCUGGCCCAAAGGGAGUCCCUUAAGUUCGUUCAAGGCCCGGUUGAGAGGGGUGUCCCACUUGGGCCUCAUCGGAGAAGUAGGGCUUUCGGCUGCAAGCAGGUGUUGCUUCUCCAGUAGUCUAAUCAAUUUCCUCGUGAUCUUGUCCGUGUAAAAAAACCUUUUUCUCCUUGUCCCACUUGUAGCGGGCCCUGAUGAAAUCACGCUCCAAGGGGUUGGUGAACUUCGCGAAGGGGUCUGGGAGAUCCGCGGCUUCACGUUCCGCGUCCUCCUUAUCCCAUAUGGGCCUUUUACCGAGGUAGCCACGGCUUCCGAGGCGAUGCUUCCCCGUGUUCCUUUGCUGAAGGCUCUUGAAUUUUGCAGCCUUAGCCUUGGCUGCCUCGGUAGCGCAAGUGUCCUUGAACUUUUUGAACUCCUCUUCCGUAAGUGUCGGAUUUUCCUCUAGAAUCUUGGACAGGGGUUCAUCAGCCUCAAUAGCUCGUUUCACCCUCCCUUUCCAGGAGGCCAAAUCAUUGCUGAACAUGCCCAUGGCGUAAUUGUUAAUCUUUUUCAUCUUCGGAUCAUCCCACAGUUGUUCUAUGUUAUCAUCCCGGUCGGGGAACUUGAAUCUCUUGUGCAACUUCGUUAGGAGCAACUGCGUCAAAUGUUCUUUAGUCCUUAAGUCAUCGUCGUUGCUGCUCAUGCAUUCCCGUAGGAUGCAUCCUACUUGGUUCCCAUAGCACUUGCGAGGUUCUUCCGGCUCUAACGGCUCAAACUUGCCAGGUGCCAUCUUUGUGAUCACAAGUCGUCCAAUCCCUAGUUUGUUAGGUUUUCGUAUCCUCUGCUUCUUAUGCUUCCUCUUUUCGGUAGCGGCAUCGGGGCCGGUACUUUCCCCGCCGGUACCUUCCCCACCGGUCUCGGCGCCGCCAUCGGUGCCGGCGCCGUCGGUGUCGAUGUCGGCGUCAGUACCAUCAUCGAGGCCGACCUGCAAACCUUUCUUAGCAGUCAAAUAGUCGAGGUACUCUUGUUCACCCUCAUAAUCCAUCUCGUCUGCAUCUUGGUCAGAAGGCCCAGUUUCUUCGUUGUUUGACAUGUUUCCUAUGAUUAAGUGUCCUCAUUUAUUUCUAAAAGUAUGAAUAAAUGAGAAAUGACAUAAAAAAAGAAAUCUAUGUGCCAGCACUCGAUAUGCCAACUAUGUAGCACAAAUCAUGCCUUUAUUCACGGGAAAUUUCGGCAUGACCUUUGCUAAAAAAAUGGACAUUUCGAGCGCCUGAAAUUCACCGGAACGGAAAUGAAUCAACAUUCCGGNNNNNNNNNNNNNNNNNNNNNNNNNNNNNNNNNNNNNNNNNNNNNNNNNNNNNNNNNNNNNNNNNNNNNNNNNNNNNNNNNNNNNNNNNNNNNNNNNNNNNNNNNNNNNNNNNNNNNNNNNNNNNNNNNNNNNNNNNNNNNNNNNNNNNNNNNNNNNNNNNNNNNNNNNNNNNNNNNNNNNNNNNNNNNNNNNNNNNNNNNNNNNNNNNNNNNNNNNNNNNNNNNNNNNNNNNNNNNNNNNNNNNNNNNNNNNNNNNNNNNNNNNNNNNNNNNNNNNNNNNNNNNNNNNNNNNNNNNNNNNNNNNNNNNNNNNNNNNNNNNNNNNNNNNNNNNNNNNNNNNNNNNNNNNNNNNNNNNNNNNNNNNNNNNNNNNNNNNNNNNNNNNNNNNNNNNNNNNNNNNNNNNNNNNNNNNNNNNNNNNNNNNNNNNNNNNNNNNNNNNNNNNNNNNNNNNNNNNNNNNNNNNNNNNNNNNNNNNNNNNNNNNNNNNNNNNNNNNNNNNNNNNNNNNNNNNNNNNNNNNNNNNNNNNNNNNNNNNNNNNNNNNNNNNNNNNNNNNNNNNNNNNNNNNNNNNNNNNNNNNNNNNNNNNNNNNNNNNNNNNNNNNNNNNNNNNNNNNNNNNNNNNNNNNNNNNNNGGGGGCGAGCGCCGGGGUCGGGGGCGAGCGCCGGCGCCGGGGUCGAGGGCAAGCGCCGGGGCCGGGUCGGGCGCGGCGGUGCGACGGGGGAAGAGAGAGUGGGGAUUUGGGGGGAAAUGGCGGGAUGAAGCAGGAAGAGUGAGAAUUUUGGGUUAAGUGGACGUAGCAGUAGCGCGUUUGGACAAAACACGCUGCUACUACCUUCAGUAGCUGUAGCGGUUUAUAUCAAAUGCGCUACUACUACCUUCAGUAGUUGUAGCGGUUCAGACAAAACGCGCUGCUACUACCUUCGCUACUGCCAGUUUUCCUUUUCCUUUUCCUUUAUUUUCUCCCACUUUUAUUUCCCGAGAGCAGGGAACGAAGGGAGGGCGAUAUAUAUUGCAUCAUUUGACGGUUAAAUAUGUAUGCAAAAUAGGAAUAUAUAUAUUACAUCAUUGGACCCAUGCAUAAUAAUGACUAAGUAUGUAUACAAAAUAGGAACAAAUAUAUAUAGGACAACACUAUUCUAAUCCCGGGAUUAGAAUAGUUAUUUGGAUCACAACGUCCUAGGGAGCCGCGAAGAUGAUCCCGAACCAGAGCGAGCGAACCGAAGAAGCCCACUGUGAGCGCGAGGAAAAAAAGCCCACCCUGGACCCCUCGUGGCCUCGUCACACACCUCUCGAUCCCCACCCGAGCCACCUCCCGACCGCCGCCGCCGCCCACCGCCUACCUGGCGUUGCCUCGCGGGCCGGGAUCCAGCCACCGACGAGCGGAUCCUUGCUAGCUUGCCGCCGCCACACGCAAGCACCUCACCCCCGAGCCGCCUCCCCACUUUCCCACACGUGGCCGCCGUCCUCCAUUGUUGCUUCACCGACGGCCGGCUGCGCCAGGCCAGCGCCGUCCCCAAUGGCGCAGCGGCCGAGCACCUCCAUUGAACGUGCCGGCGGCUCAGGCCACCCGACCCGGCCCCUCCCUCAAACGCACUGCCCCAACCUUCUCUAACGGAGCCGACGGCGACCACCGGAGCUUUCCUGAGGCGUGUCGCGUGCUCCUGCUAGCCGGGGCUGGGCGCACCUCGUCUGGAAAGAAGAAACUUCACCGAGCAUGUGAAGUUCGGCCGGUGAACCUAUGCAGUCCGACGGUGCUUGCAUGCUUGUAUCCGGUAGCAUACAUUGCGGAUGUAUCAAAAGGCAAGCACCGAUCUCUUUCGUUACUAAACAAUAGUGUGUGCUAUUUGAUGAAAUGGAUUCACAAUGAAGUGGGCAAAAUUUCUCGUGUUUAAGUUGAGUCAUUGUGGCCUUAAUCAUCUUGUGCGAGUAGAAAAAAUUUGGUUGCUUCACAUGUGCCUGCGCGGCUCUGUUGGUGGUUUUCUGCCUGAGGUUGAAGAUGACAGGCAACCUGGACUACCAGCCCACGCGCGGAUUAGGCGCUGCCUGCAGCUGCAGGAGAGGUUGGCCUACAGUUGGAGGAGGCCCUGGCCUUCAGCUGGCAAUUUAGAGGAACUUGCCACUAUGAAAAUCUGAAAAUCUAACUUGAC